CUUUAAUUCGGUGAACAGCUGAACACAGAGACAGCACAGAGACGGAGCGGGAGUAUCUCAGCUCUGAGAGAGUGAGGGCUGGGUUACAGAAGUUACCAGAAGAAGCUCAGCAGCGUGUUCAGCUCUGAAGAUGCAGCUGGUGUUUAGAGACGGUGGUGGAGAGAGAUACAGAGAGAGAGGAGACCUGAGAUUACCUGCUCUGAUCCUCUCAAACCCGCACCAUCCAUACCGAGGAUCCAGAGCCAGGACAAGCUCCUGAACCCCGAGCCUCCAAGAGUGAUUUCCUGGAUACAUGCAGAGCAGACGGCAAUCUAGCAGCUUGGAUUGGUGCCCCGUGGGCUGACGUAAGCCGAUUCUUUGUCAUUCUAUACACCCUCCUUCUCAGAGGCGUUACCACUUCCUCCCCCACUCAUACCAGACACCCCGGCCGCUGCAGCAUGGCACAGAACAAAGGCUGAAGGCAUACAAGCGCUAGUCUGUCCAGAACUGAAAAAAGACCAGAAACCUGCGGUACAGAACCCUGUGGUAGCAUGAACAGAGGACAAGAGCUGGAGGAGGAGACCCUCAGGAAAACCUGCUGUAUCCAGUGAGAGUGCUGUUCAGUUUGGCUCCUGUAGAAAGACACUGGAUAUGCUGGGAUGGUCCGGGCAGGGCACCAAAAGGAGUUGGAGUCUGGCAACAUGAGUGAAAAUGCCCUGAUGAAAAACCUUUUCCUCAAGUAUGCAGGCUCCUUCUCUGAGGUUGCUGAUGCUAUUAAACACCGGAGAGAACAGGAUUCAUCUGUUGAGGACAGAGGUCUGGUGGGCAUUGGUGCACACAAGAUGUACACAAACAAGAAGCUCUCUUCCACAGUAGCAUCUACAAAGCAGCUUCCUGAAGCUCCUGGUAAGUCCUGUAAUAAUUUUCUAAGUUUAUCAUUCAGCUCAGAUAGCUCAUGGUCAUUCUGUCAUCCUCUGUUGGUAAGCACAACAUUUUAA
ensembl:lncRNA